rnacentral:rRNA from 1 species
GCUGGCGGUAGGCCUAACACAUGCAAGUCGAACGGCAGCACAGAGGAGCUUGCUCCUUGGGUGGCGAGUGGCGGACGGGUGAGGAAUACAUCGGAAUCUACUUUUUCGUGGGGGAUAACGUAGGGAAACUUACGCUAAUACCGCAUACGACCUACGGGUGAAAGCAGGGGACCUUCGGGCCUUGCGCGAUUGAAUGAGCCGAUGUCGGAUUAGCUAGUUGGCGGGGUAAAGGCCCACCAAGGCGACGAUCCGUAGCUGGUCUGAGAGGAUGAUCAGCCACACUGGAACUGAGACACGGUCCAGACUCCUACGGGAGGCAGCAGUGGGGAAUAUUGGACAAUGGGCGCAAGCCUGAUCCAGCCAUACCGCGUGGGUGAAGAAGGCCUUCGGGUUGUAAAGCCCUUUUGUUGGGAAAGAAAUCCAGCCGGCUAAUACCUGGUUGGGAUGACGGUACCCAAAGAAUAAGCACCGGCUAACUUCGUGCCAGCAGCCGCGGUAAUACGAAGGGUGCAAGCGUUACUCGGAAUUACUGGGCGUAAAGCGUGCGUAGGUGGUUGUUUAAGUCUGUUGUGAAAGCCCUGGGCUCAACCUGGGAACUGCAGUGGAAACUGGACAACUAGAGUGUGGUAGAGGGUAGCGGAAUUCCCGGUGUAGCAGUGAAAUGCGUAGAGAUCGGGAGGAACAUCCAUGGCGAAGGCAGCUACCNGGACCAACAC